GCUGGGAUGGCUCAGUCGGUGGAUCACGAGGCUCUUAAUCUCAGGGUUGUGGGUUCAAGUCCCAAAAUAUUCCUGCA